ensembl:lncRNA
AUUAUCCUGCUGGUUUGACCUCUGUGAUUAUCUUUGUGAGUGGUUUAGGAGAAAUCCGCUUGUCUAUGUUUAACAGCACCAGUCUGACCUCUGUGAACAGUCUGAUUAUGGCACACCAAGGUAUCACAGCAAUAGGACUGCAGACCUUUGAUACGUUUCAAAACCUCAAAACUCUCAAUUUGGACAAUAAUGGUCUCUCCCAAGUCUCAUCAAACUGGUUCAGCCAUCAGGGUACACUUGAGACACUCAGACUCUCAUAUAAUAAAAUCACUACACUGGAUCAUAGUUCUCUUGAUGGGAUGUCAAACCUGCUCAACCUAAACUUGUCUCGGAACCAGGUUCACACUAUAACCCUAAGCAGUUUUCUUGGUCUCCGUAAACUGAGGCAGUUAGACCUGUCCAACAACAAACUGACACAUUUGAGUACAGAUGUGUUUCUUCCACUUAACGGCACAAAGAUCUGCUUGGAUGGAAAUCCCUGGGACUGCUCCUGCUCUGUGAACGAUUUUGCCAAAUACCUGAGAGGUAUGCAUUUGUUUCCAUUUUGUACUUAUCUAAUGCUGUUGAAAUAUUCAUUUUUGACUGAUAAAUGUUUGCAGGUCUGCAGAAUGCCUCUCUUCUGGAGAAUGAGAUGCUGGUGUGCUGCAAUAGCCCUCCUGAUUUGAAAGGUGUACCAGUAUGGCAGGUACCAGAGUGUAAAACCCUCACAUCCAUGAGCCCUACCACUACAAGUAUUGCCACUAUGGGUCUUACCACUGGAAGUCCUGGCACCGGGAACCCUGCCACUGUAUUAAUAACCAAACCUCUUACAAUUGGUCACUCGACUUUAAUCGGUUUUAUUGUGGUACUUUGUGCCCUGGUACUUGUCAUCUGUGUCCUUUCAGCAUUGUAUCACAGGAAACGAGAGAGGAAACAUCUACAGACUGUAAAACCUGCUUCAGAGAAAUCCGAAAUGAUUCGAACCAGUGAAUCAACUGCAAAAAGCAAUGGAGAAGAAAACAGAAAAGUGAAAUCUGAAAUCGCUGAUAAAACCCAAAUUGCCACAACAGAAGUGUUAUUGAGGGCAAACCAGAUGGUGGUUGGAGAUGAGAAGAUAUCACAAAUUUACCAUAUUUAUUCAUCAGGGCCAUAUGACACCAGAGAACCCAUUAAACGAGUGAGAUCUGCCGGGCCGGUCUUGUGCAGGAUGGAGAUGUUUUCUAAACCGAUAGAAGCUGAUGAAGUUGGGGUAAGGAAUGAUGAGAACUACAAUGGAUGGAUGAUCUCAGAAAGAACAAAAGACAAUGUGUGUGUUAAUACUGAGGAGGUGGAGAAGUUGGAGGAUGGAAAACGCAUAGCAGAUGAGGAGAAUGAGGGAUCCGCUGAGGUAAGUAACACCACUGACGCACUGGAAUCACAUGAAGAUACUGAUGAGAGUGUUCGAGCUGGAGCAAGUGUAGAUGAAGACGUUCUUCAGCAUAGAGUGGAGAACAAUGUGUUGGAUCACCUGAACGAGUUGGCCGUUGGAGCAGGAAGCAGUCAAGAUGUUCUCCAGGUAAAACACGUCACGUCCCAGUCUGAGGAGCCUGAUGAAAACCUGCCGUACUUCACGAUCGGUGCUGAUCCAGAAAAGCAGACCACUGGGCUUGAUCAGAAUACUGCUAAAGGAACAUCUGGAUCUUUAAGACCUAUUCGGCGGGUACUGACCUGGCCUCCGACUGCGGCCCAGUGGAAGAAGCAGUGGGCUCAAAAUCAACAAGUCCUAAAUGUGUUCCCACAACUAAUAUUUGUAACUGGUUGCAGGCAUGAAAUCAGACCAUUUCCACCCAACAUUUCUCCUGCAGUCUUCCCAACUGCCCCACAGUUCACUGCAAUAGAGUUUCUGCCUGAAAUCACGUCCCCAGUGGAAGUCGCUAUUGAUGAGGACAUUUACAGGGCAAGUCUUGAGUCAUCCAAUCAAAGAGUCCUGCAUUUCAGCGCAAAGGAGUGCUUCUCUAAUAUAUCACCAAGGGAGGAUGGCAGAAUUAUUACAAAUGGGGAAACUUGGAUGUCAGGUCUCGAGUCGACCAUCUUUUCCGACUUGUCCUCCAAGAACUCGCCAGUUGAUGAAAGUGAGGUCUGCUCUGAAUUCAGCAUUUUUAAUCCAUCAUUUGGUGGCAGCAAGUCAAAGCCUGCUUUUGCAGAGGAGAUAAACAACAAAGACGAUGUUGAGCAAAUACAGAGCGGGAAAACAAAAGCACAUCGAGUUCACCAAAGUGAGCAGGUUGCGUCAGAAUUGCAGAAGCAGUCCAAGAGAGCAGGGAAAGCUGCACAGAGAGACCUACAGCAAGGUCAGAUGUGUGAAGGGUCUGACUCAAGAGCGCCCCCUGUGGGAGGUUCUCCAAAAGAUGACAGCCUGUUGCUGGGCAAUGAGUACAACUUUAUAGAUCUGCUACAUGAGGUGGUGGAAAAUCACGGGCGCUGGACCCGAGACAGGUGGAGACAAACACAAAAAAACAAACACAAACUCAAACAGAGUCGUUAGGUACUGGAAGUAAGUUUCUAAAUAUACAAUUGAUGAAAAAUUACAUAUAAAAAAGAUAUCAAAAUAAUCAGUUCUUCUGCUCUGUAAGGUGAAACCUGCAAAACACACUGUAAAAUGUACAAAAUCUAAUAAUGGAUAUGGUAUGAAAAAUUGCACCUGGCAUGUACAGACAUUUGGAUUUAUUUUACUGCAUUAUUAAAUGCAAAAAUAAAAAAUGUGUGAAUCUAUGCA